rnacentral:rRNA from 1 species
UGGGGAAUCUUGCGCAAUGGGCGAAAGCCUGACGCAGCCAUGCCGCGUGAAUGAUGAAGGUCUUAGGAUUGUAAAAUUCUUUCACCGGGGACGAUAAUGACGGUACCCGGAGAAGAAGCCCCGGCUAACUUCGUGCCAGCAGCCGCGGUAAUACGAAGGGGGCUAGCGUUGCUCGGAAUUACUGGGCGUAAAGGGAGCGUAGGCGGACAUUUAAGUCAGGGGUGAAAUCCCGGGGCUCAACCUCGGAAUUGCCUUUGAUACUGGGUGUCUUGAGUGUGAGAGAGGUAUGUGGAACUCCGAGUGUAGAGGUGAAAUUCGUAGAUAUUCGGAAGAACACCAGUGGCGAAGGCGACAUACUGGCUCAUUACUGACGCUGAGGCUCGAAAGCGUGGGGAGCAAACAGGAUUAGAUACCCUGGUAGUCCACGCCGUAAACGAUGAUUGCUAGUUGUCGGGAUGCAUGCAUUUCGGUGACGCAGCUAACGCAUUAAGCAAUCCGCCUGGGGAGUACGGUCGCAAGAUUAAAACUCAAAUGAAUUGACGGGGUCAUAGCUGUUUCCUG